ACACUAGAAAAAAGAUAUCAUUCACUUCACUCAAAGUACUUUAGGAAAGACACUUGCAAUUUUAGUUUCAGUCACUGUUUUGCUGUGAAAAAUGAAAAUAAGCACUGGGUAUGAUUAAGGACAUUAAAAUAUACAUCAAGUAUAUAGUAUACAGUAUAAUUUAACACAUUAAUUUGAAUAUAUCAGAAUAAAAAAGCAAAAUUAAUUAAGCAAUUCAAAGUUUUAAAAAGAAAGCCUUUUAUGACAAGUGUUGGGUUUUAGUUUACAGUACUACACUAUCUGUACAAAAAAGCAUUUAAAAUGUUUUCAAGAUACAAAAAAACAGCCGUUACUUCAUAACACUUAAACAUUAAUUGUGGGAAAUCUUUUCACUAAAACAUAGUAUGGCGACUGGUAGGAUCGAACUCGCGACUCUGGGAUCGGCCUCACUCUUCCCCUUUCUUCUCCCCUCCCUUUCUUCCCCCUUCCUUCCUUUCUUCCCCCCGCCCCAAGCAGACUAUUGUUCCCCAACUUUGGCGCAGUAGGCAGCGCGUCAGUCUCAUAAUCUGAAGGUCGUGAGUUCAACCCUCACACUGAGAUAAUAAUUUAAUAUUUUCUUUCCAUCUAUUGAGUCUCGAGGAUGUUUUAUUUCGAAAAUUCUUUAACCGGAUUCUGUCGGUUACGUCUUGUGCACCAACAUUGAGCCCACAAGUAGGAACAGAAUGAGUCCUCUCAACGGACCCCCCCACUCCGAAGCAAACUUGCGACGACUUGCUCGCGCAUCCUGGCACCCUGGUUUUUGAUCGUCCAGUUUUGUUUUUUAUGUUUGUCAAACCCUCAUUUCAACUCAAACUAGUCUUCAUUGCUGACAGAACGAAGGGUAUGUUGUCUGUUUUUUAAUCCUUGCUUUUGAAUCUGAGCUCAGAUUAAAACUCAAGAUUUUUUCUUCAGGAAUAAAUCAUGUUUUUAAAAACAUGUUGAAGUCUCACGAAAGACAUCAAGAUUAACCACUAUAAAUGAAAAUGAAAUAUAUAUAUAUAUAUACACACACAUACAUACAUAUACUCUUAUUUUUAAAGCACUUUUCAUAAACAAUAUUGCUUUAUGGGACAAAGUUAAGUUUCUAAAAUUACCGGGUUUAAAAAUGUAAAUCAAAGAAAUGUUUGGUACAGCAGUAAAAGAUGAACUGAAGGCAUGCUACACGUACUCGCCAAGGAUGCAAAUGUAUAUGGCAGAUAGCCAGCCUGUGAGUGUGUUGCUGUUUUAAGAGAUGAAUAGUCAUUUGUCAAACUUAAAAUCACUUUCUUUAUUAAGUUUCAUUGCUUUAUGACUAAAACUUCAAGACAUCUCUAGUUGUUUUAUACAAUAGUCACACUGUUUGAUCUACAAUAUACAUCAUUGUUUAAUUGUUGGCACAUAAACUCUAGUAAAACGCCCCAAAAAAUACAUUUCACAUUGUUUACCCUCUCACUCUUCGACCUUGGUGGAUGUUAUUAUUCCAGGAAAGGUGAAAUUCCUUAAAACAGUAACACAUAUUCCCACAGUGGUCUACAAAAUGUCUGGACUGCAACUCUUUAGAAGUUUACAACCAACUGCAGGAGAUUCAUUUGCACUUAUGCGAAUACAACAUUUAAAAUAAAAGAUUAGAUCUGUCUAGAAGUGACAUAAAUUAUUUUAAAAGCCUCCUGUUGAUGAAGAAGUUGUACUGUUAUAGUCAUAAAAAGCCUCUAUAAAAAAAAGCAGGAAUGUAAAUUAAUGUCU